rnacentral:rRNA from 1 species
AUAGGGAGUCGGACCUGCCCAGUGAAUAAUUUUUUAACGGCCGCGGUACUCUGACCGUGCAAAGGUAGCAUAAUCAUUUGCCCUAUAAUUGAGGGCUAGUAUGAAUGGUUUGACAAGAAUAAAGCUGUCUCCGUAUAAUUUUAUAGAAUUUUAUUUAUAGGUGAAGAAGCCUAUAUAUUAUUAAAAGACAAGAAGACCCUGUCGAGCUUUAAAAAAAUUAGUAAAUCAAUGAUCAUAUUUUAUAUAAGCAAUGUUUAUUAGAAAUUUUGGUUGGGGCGACUAAGGAACAAAUAAAGCUUCUUAAUACAUAUAAAUUACAUGCAAGUAAUGAUCCAGAACAUUUUGAUCAAAGGAAUUAGUUACCGCAGGGAUAACAGCAUUAUCUUUUUUAAGAGCUCAUAUCGAAAAAAAGGUUUGUGACCUCGAUGUUGGACCAGAGUAUCCUGAAGAUGCAGAAGUCUUCAAGGGUUGGUCUGUUCGACCAUUAAAAUUCUA